UUCAGUGAGCUAAUAAUACUAUAAAGUAACCUUACAAUGCAGUGUGUUUGAUGCCUUAGUUCCCAAACUAUUCCCAUAAUCAGCUGUUUAUUGAUAACUUAAACGUAUUUAAACAAAUCACCUUCAGAAUAUAUCUGUAAAAGAGUACAUUGGCUCAACAAUAAUGACCUUAUUCCUAGAGUAAGGGAAGCUCACAAAUGAUCAGUGAGAGAAGACUCUAGGGUUAUCCAACCCUUAUAAUAAAACAUGAUAAAGCAAAAUUUAGGUUUAGUAAGCCAUGGCAGUUGGUCUCAAUUUGUCCAUCUAAUUGGGCAAUUUACCACCAAAUGUUAGAAUUCAUAGAACAUAAAUUGUCAGUUCACAUUGGAAAAGAUUUAGCAAGAUUACAUUGUGUGUGCAGUGGAAGAACAAAGUAAAUCUGUAACUACACAAUAAUGUCCAUCUCUGGCUUGCUUGCAGAGUCUCUUCACUGAAAUUGAGGUUGGAAAUUCAAUUGUGCAAAGCUGAAUAGGCUAAGAUAUGUUAUCCAGAAAAGUGUUCAGUGCCUCUAUUUGGUUGUUGUGACUUGUAUCUUGUAAAUAUCAUUUCUAUUGGAGUAGCGACCAAAAGCCUCCGGCAGGAACAGUGUUCCAUUAUGCUAGGUACUGCCCUGAAGAAUUUACAGUCUAAAAGGAAAUUAAUGAAGGGAUAGGGCAAGACGUCAGGAUGAUGGCAAGUUGAUUUUUAUUUUUAUAUAUAUAUAAGGUUAUACCCACCUUUCCAUUGCUGAGGUAUCAAAACAGUUUUAUGGCUUUGUGCUAGUUCUGCAGUGGGCAUUGUAUGCCAGCAUUACAUGAUAAGCAAACAAAGAUGUUUUGGUAUGGCAUGGCAGUGUACACUGUAAAUUGAUGUAUUAAACUGUUCUUUUUGAAACAUGGGGGAAAAAAUUUUCAAUUUAAAAAUGAAUAAAAUUUAUAAUUCUACUUAAACUUCUCAAGUAGUCAUUUUAAACAACAGUAAGUAAAGAACAAGCACUGGCAAGUUAUACUAAUAUUAGCUGCUAAACAUGGAUAUCUUGUACAAUUCCAUACAAUACGUAUAUCUAAAAAUUGUAUUUAAGAAUCCCAGCUCACAAUGUGGACAUUAAGCACUUCUUUUAUACUAUCAUAUGUAGAAAUGAAGUAUAUUACGGGGUGGGAAACAACUAAGGACACUGCCAAAUGUGUACCUUUCUUUUUGUAGCUUCAAUUUUUUUAUUUAAAAAUUGAUGCUGUGCACACAGGAAAGAAUUUGCUCAUGUGAUAAUAAUUCAGUGAACAUUUAUUCUAUAUUAUUCAUGCUGAACGCUUUUGUAAGUAAAUUUUCAGAGGUGUUAAAAUACCUUUCCACUUUAACCUCUUUGCUUGUAUCUGACAAGUUUCCUGCUCCCCUUCCUUCUCUCCUUAGAAGAAUUACCAGGAGUGCUGUGAUACAUAGCCUGCUGUAUUCCAGGAAUUUAGAGGGAAGCAUGUUAAGCACUUCAAAUGCUAGGCUUUACAGGCUCUUGUUCUUGUUCUUCCCAGUGGACACUUGCAUGCAUCUGGUAAAUAAAGGCAGAUUCUUUAUUAGGAUUGGCAGAAAAGAAGGGAUGCAAAGACUCUACACUGAAACCUAAGCGGUUUGGUACAGAAGAAAGGUACUGAAAAUUUCCAGGCUAUUUCCCUAAGGGGCAAUCAUAUAGGAAGUUACAAGGCUAGUAUCGGAGUCCUUAUGUCUAGUUCCAAAGGUUCUUCAAAGUUACCUUCUUUGGGAAGGGAAAUCUUCUUAGCCUUUGGUUGCAUGGGCUGCUGUUGGCUCGAACAUUGAUGCUUGUGGCAUCUCCUAGUGCAGUGGUUCUCAAAGUCAUUUAAUCAUGUCCCCUUCUUUGUGUCGAUAGUAGUUUACACUCCCAUCUUUCCAGCCAGCAGCUCAUGCUCUCCGGUCACCUGUUUCUGAGGGCAGAGCAGAGGAUGCUGACUGGGUGCUGUCCUCUAAAGGCAGCGCAGUUGCCAGCAGCAGCACAGAAGUACGGGUGGCAUGGUAUUGUAUUGCCACCCUUACUUCUCUGCUGCUGGUGGCAGCGAUGCUGCCUUCAGAGAUUGGUGGCUGGAGAACAGCAGCUAUGCCAGGCACCCAGCUCUGAAUGUGUGCGGUAAAUUCCUCCCCCUCCCCCAAAGCUUGCUUAUGCCCCCCAGAAUACAUUCUGCACCCCUCAUGAGGGCGCACCCUGUUUAAGAACCUCUAUUCUGGUGUUUGCAUUAGAGAAGCCCCUCAUGUUGCCUCCUUGCUGAAUUUGCGAGCUGUAGCUUCUGCUUCUUAAGGCAACAAUCUGCAAGGCCUUCUGGCAUCUCUAGGUGGUUCUUCUCACAUCAUAUUCUCUGCACUUCUGCAGUUGGCCCAGAUCCCAGGAACACUGGACAAACUGCUCUUUCCCGUGUGCCAAGUCUGCCAGUUGCAAUAUUUACUCCUCAGUGGCUGCCUGCAUAUGCUGCCUCUUUGAGUUCUCCCUUUUUCAAAUGUGCACUUUCCCCAGCUCUAGAUGAGAUUCUGCUGCUGGGUUCCUCUCUCCAGGUUCUAUCUUUGGCCAGCUUUAAAGCAGCUGCAUAUUUAUCUGGCUGCUCUCAUAUGCUCCCUUACUCUCCCCACCCCUUUAUUCUUUAUCCGCAUGUCCCAAGGAUUCUACUUCGUUGUAUUGAUCACUCUGGAUCACACAGUAUCAUCUAUUUAGCUAUAUGUCUAUUAGUCCUUGCCCUUACUAUGGUGAGUUGUUUCCAAUCCUUUCCAUCAAGGUAAUGGGAUGCUAAUAAUUAACUGGGUGGGGAGAAGUGUUUCAGACAGUUUUUGUUGUAACUAUCCAGAGUUUUUUGUUUUGAAAUACAUGUCAAGGACAUCCAGAGUUUUGGAUGGGUGCCUUUUGUGUAGAUUUUAACAUCUAAUUCAAAAUAAAUGCACCCUUUGAUGCUAUGAAUUCAUAAUCAUCAAGACCUACUAUAAUAUUAUUGUCAGAGUAACACUAAUAUUUUAUUUAAAAAAACAACAACAACACCCUAAUACUCUACAAAGAAAUGUAAUCUUUGCAAUCACUCAACAUCUGAACUAGUGGUUUACAAUGUCAGGAAACCUCUCAAUGGAAUUAUAUUUUUCUACAUGCAAGAGUAAGGACAUGGAACAUGAGUGUGGUAAUGACUGAAGUGGGAACUAAAGACUGAUGGACAGGGAAGCCCAGCAGCCCCCUUCUGAUGUGGGGUGGACUGUGCUUUUUUCUUAUGGCAUUCCCCUUGAUUCUCUUCUGUGACGAUUAUUUUAGAUCUGUCCUUUCCUUGACUUCAUUCCAGGAGGGUUAGUGUAACUUACACCUUCUUCUAGUCCUCUCUGGAUGAAAGUUAAAAUGGUAGUCUUCCUGUAAGUGCUUACUUAAAGACUUGGUAUCUUACACCCCUUAAAACAUCACAGCUGAAUUGUACAUGCUGUUAUGUAUUUAAAUUUUUGUAAAUUAAGUGGUGAGGUGUGUGUAAGAGGAUUUUUAGUUGCUUUUCUUGCUACUUAUGGCUCUCUUCAGACCUGAAGGGUGCAAAGUGAAUGUAAUUCUAUAGCAACCUUCCUGCUAUAUAUUUACUCAUCAGCCUUUAUCAUUGUAGGUGAAUGAAAUUGUUUAAAUGCUCUAAAGACAUAACUACUUUAAUUGAAAAAAUGUAUAAAGUUUCACAGAUACUUCUGUCAGUAUGAAGUUUUAUAACACUGUUCAUCUUACAGUAAUGAAACUUUGGACAUAAACUACCUCCCAGUGUGUUUGAUCAUGCUCUUGUCUUCUGUUAUAUUUAGGAGGAGGGAUGAAGGGCAGUGGUGGCAUGCUGUCUAGCUUGUUAAGUCAUAUUUAUACUGAAUUUUGCUUAGAAAAUCUUUAUUCCAGCUUUGGCAUUGUUAAUUCUGGAUUCUCGGGGCUUGUAGGUAUUGUCUGUAUCUUCUUUUUGUAUCAAGAAUGCCCUCUAUGUUAUUCAUUGUCAUGAUUAUCAGUGUCUUCUGUAUGUUCACAGUACAUACUUGGUCCCUUGCUUGAAAGCAUGUUGUCCACGGAGAUAUACUCCCUAAACUGCCUGAAGAUAUUGUGGAAAGAAGCUGCUUGGUUUAUUUAGUACAUGUUUAAACACAGAACAAGGAACUUGCUCUGAUUAUUACCUGGUAUAAAUCAAAGACAUGCAAGUGUAAUGGCAAAGGUUACAAUGUUAGGUCCAUUGUUGUGGAGAGCUAAUGCUACUUAAAAUGGCUAAGUAGUCUAUAGGUCUAUCCGAUGAUGCCUUCAGAAAUUGAACUGUACCAGAAAAUAUCUUCAACAGUUUGGUUUGUGAAUAUUUGUUUGUGCCUAUUUCUAGUGGCUGAGCAUGAAGGUGGAAUGUAUCCAGACGGAUGUUGCCUGGUAUCCCGAGACUUAUGUAGUUUUGUUUCCCUACAAAUUACUGAUGCACAAGACAAAUUUUACUUCUGUCAUCUGAUCUUAUUGUGUUGAGAAAUUAUGAUUUCUUAGAAUGACGUUACAGGUUGUUCCAGUUUUUUUUUUUUUUUAAAUCAUUGACUUGACAGAAGCAUGAAAGGAUUUCAUUCCACAAUUCAUCAGGGUAACUGCUGAAACUUCUUGCAAUUUAUUAAGGAUGUGGUGCAGAUUGCUCAUUUUGUUUCCAACUGCUUUCAGUAACUUGAACAAAAACAUUUAUGAAGCAGAAUUAUAAAAACAUUUUCUUGCCAGUGUGCAUCUUGAUUCAGUUUUUUAACACAAGAAAUUUUAUGUAACAAAAGGCAUUGCUUGUGGUAAGCAUUGUUACUGCUCUCACACUUCAUGCUUUUUAGAAAAAACCCUCCUAGCUAGGGUGAGAAGUUUACUGUGGGUUACCACUACAUCUGGGGUGUGUGUGUGUGUGUGUGUGUGGAAACUGGAGGGGAGGCUUCUGAUAAUGCACUGGAGUACGGUGGAGAAGGGAGUGGAUGAGCAUAGGUUCAACAGGACUGAGAAAAGCAAACUGCUCAGUAGAUUAGGUGACUGGGGCCCAGAGGGGAAGCUGAGAGGAAGCAAUGGAGGAAGAGAAUGGGGUUGGAGACAGUUCUCUUGAAGGGACUUGUUCCUGCUUCCUUUCUUUUCAAUGUCCAGAUAGCUCCUGGGCUCCCUUUUCUUGUGCUUCCUUGUUUCAGAACUCCUGUUCUUUGUUCAUCCUCUUCUUCCUCAAAUGGCUCCUGCCGGUACUUUCUUGUUCAUCCCCAAUCUAAAUAGGUGGGAAGACAUGUAGAAUUGAGUUCUGGGUUGUGUAUGUGUGUUUUUAUGAAUGUGUGGAGGUGGUAAUUUUACUUUGAAUGGGGGUGUGACAAUGCGGUUCUGGCGGAACCCAACUGAGAGUGCCAACUCAGGACAAAUUGCUAAAACAGGGCAG